AAAAAAGGGGGGGGGGGGGGGGGGGGGGGGGCCUUGGUAAAAUCAAUGGCCAAGAUAUCGUUUUGGUUGUCAUCCUUUUUUAUUGGUGAUUUGAUUGUUGCUCAUCCACAU